GACGAACGCUGGCGGCGUGCUUAACACAUGCAAGUCGAACGGAAAGGCCCUGCUUUUGUGGGGUGCUCGAGUGGCGAACGGGUGAGUAACACGUGAGUAACCUGCCCUUGACUUUGGGAUAACUUCAGGAAACUGGGGCUAAUACCGGAUAGGAGCUCCUGCUGCAUGGUGGGGGUUGGAAAGUUUCGGCGGUUGGGGAUGGACUCGCGGCCUAUCGGCUUGUUGGUGGGGUAGUGGCUUACCAAGGCUUUGACGGGUAGCCGGCCUGAGAGGGUGACCGGCCACAUUGGGACUGAGAUACGGCCCAGAGUCCUACGGGAGGCAGCAGUGGGGAAUAUUGCACAAUGGGCGGAAGCCUGAUGCAGCAACGCCGCGUGCGGGAUGACGGCCUUCGGGUUGUAAACCGCUUUCGCCUGUGACGAAGCGUGAGUGACGGUAAUGGGUAAAGAAGCACCGGCUAACUACGUG
rnacentral:rRNA from 1 species